ensembl:lncRNA
CAGUGAGGAUCAUUUCAGUUCUGAUUUAUAGACUAAAUCCAGUGUUUCAGAUGACCAGCUUGGUGAAACAACUCAAGAAGGAGGUCAUAUACACCUUGGAUGACUCGAGGGUGAGUAAAACACAGUCCAAUUAAAAUUUUUGAGAGAACUAACCCUUUAACUUGCACUGUUUCACUGUUUGUAUCACUCAGCUUGCAGUAAUUCUCACAGCAAGUGUCAUGGCGGAUACCUAAAUCCACUAAAAUUUCUAAAAUAAUACUGAUUUUUUAGGCGAGAAUUAAAAAAAAAAAAGAACUGCAAUAAAAAUGCAUACAAACUAUUUACUAACGCAGUUCUCAACUGGUUUGGCCAUGGGACCCAUCAAGUCGCAAGACACUGAGUUAGUCGCGGAGUGUACAGUCAAAGAAACAACAUCAGCACAAAAAAAGAUUGUACAAUUCCAAAUUGAAUUCUAUAUGUGGUGCAUAAACCCAGAUGUCACAAACACAUUCAGGUGGAAUCAAAGGACAGAGGUGACUUUCUCUAUUUCCCCACAGUUUCUUUAAUCUCCUCCUCCCUGCCCUUCUGCUCAAGCGAGUUGUGUUGGUUGCGAACGGAGGAAGAGUGGGCUGUCAGCAGUGGUUUGGGCCGUCUGAUGAAGCAGGUCUGUAAUGAGCUGAUGAAGGCUACAUAUACAGCUCGGCACCACUCCGCAAAUUCUAAAGGUGAUGAGGGCUGGCAUCCUCACCCGUGAUGAGAACUCCCUGCUGCUUUGCACUUUGAUGUGUUUGUAUGUGCGGUGAAGAGAAGGAGCGCAUUUGUGAAUUUGUUUGUUUUGUUUAGUCUAGAGGGUUUACACUAAUAGAAUGAAUGUUGUUUUAAGCUACUCACACUGUUGCUAGCACCUGGUGCACACUAGAACAAUGCAUUGGGCAAUAGUCACAUCACUCCAGCUUUAUCCUGUGAUGAGGCAUGCUUUUUGAACAAAGGAAAACAACUACAGACAAAUGUAAAGAACUUUGCUUUGCAAAUAUUCUUUGCUGCAGUAUUUUAAGGCAGCUAACUUUCUGCAAUAAAAAUAAUAAACAUUUAAUGACACUAUUUUAUUUUUUUUUAUUCGUUGAUGCGUGCUUACAUGAACUGUCUAUGGGCAAUACCUUUUAACAGCAUUUGUUGAUCUUUGUUGAUGUACGUUAAGAAAAAAUAAAAUUGUUCAUCAUUUGUUUGUAAUUUAAUUAAUGUUAACUAAAGUUAACAAAUGAAAUCUUAUCGUAAUGUAAUACCCAUUUUUAUAACGCUGCCUUUUUACAACCAAGUUUACAGGUAACCAGGUAUUUUUUCUGUGUAAUAAUAAUAAUAAUAAUUAUUAUUAUUAUAAAUAAAUUAUGCAUAAUAAAAAAAUAAACCAAUAAAACAGAAUCUUAAGAAAAUAUAUAUGCAGAUACUGGAAAACAAACAAACAAAUACAUACAUAAAUGUUUUCAUAAUAACUGUUGCCAAGAUGGCUGUAAUAGGUAAUGUUACAAUAGGUAAUAGGUAAAAGUACAUUCAAAUGUAAAGUACAUUCAAAACAUCAGGCAUAGAUUUAAAACAAGACAAUUUGUUUCUUUUCUAAUUUUCACUUAUGUGAAUUUGUAAAAAGAAGAAGAAGAAAGAAACAGAAGCAGAUUCAAAAGUGCUCUCAGAAUCUCAAAAGUGGACUUUGAGAUUACAUUGCCAUUGAAUCUGGACUUGAACUUACAUUUAGAGUGCUGUCCUUAUAAUAAAGUAUAUGAAGUGCCUCGAGAACUCUAACAGAAACUUCCCAUUGAAAACUUUCCCACUGUAAUCCAACACCUGUCUCAAACAGGUGUCUGAUCCAUGGCCCCCAGACAGAUCUCACAGCAGCCGUUUCCUCUAAAUGUUCUCAUUACUUACAUCCACUAGAUAUUUCAGACACUUCCAGUUGUAAAAUUCUCCAUUACACGGGUCAAGCAGGGGCAAUGAGAGAUGAAUAACUGUCUGAUCAUCUCAAAAGGCUCCACUAGAAUAUUUCCCUCCUGCUAAAAUAUCUGUCAUCACUUUGAUUGUGUUUUAGAGGAGACGUAUUCACAGGGACGAGUUUGGCUUCUUCAUUUUCAAUUUUUUUAAGAGCCCUGUUUUUAUUUUUUUCACUGUAUGAGGGGGAUGAGACUUCUGCCUCUGCACAUUCAUUCAGCAGUCCAUUGCAAAAAUGAGAAGAGAGCGCAAAUGAAAACCUGAAAGAAGAAAAAUGAAGGGGGAAGAAAACACUCAGGUCAGUAUCUCAUCUCGCAAAGAUUAAAAACUCAUCUCUCAGACCGGUGCGGCGUUAUAUAGGCUGAUUUGCGAAGCUCUCCAUGCAAAUUGCGAGGUGAUUAGUUGUCGUGUUUGGAUGGUGGAACAGCGGAGGGUUAGGACACUUCGUCCCCCCUGUCCAAUUACAGCUGCCUGUAGCACAGGAUGACGCCCUGUCUGCACGCCCAUGUCAUUAAGAGGAAAGUGGAAAGCCCUUCCUCGCAUACAGGCUCUAAUGCGAGUGGAGGAAUUACACGACUGUUGUCUCUGUGCGCAUGCCAUCCUCUUUCACUCAAGAUUUAAUGAAGAGUAAAGCAGGAUACACAUCCACUCACUAGCCACUGGAUACACAUUCAUUAUAAUUCCUCAACAAAAGCUUAAGGGAUAUACUGUACUUACUUACAACAAUAAGCUUAGUGUACAUAUAUAAUGACAGUAAUUUAGCAAACUUUAUAGUUCACCACAAAACUAACUCACUGUGGCUUUUUAAACUUAUAUGAAUUUUUUACUUAUAUGAAGCACAAAAGGAGAUGUUUAGCAGCGUUUUUUGUGGAUUUUUUGUGAAUUAUAACAUAAAACGUUUUUAUAUGGCUUCAGAAAAUUGUAAUAUAGAAUAUGGACUUCUUUUACCAUGUAUUCAUGGUGACCAUCCACUUUUUCUGAACGAUAAAGAAAAGUGUGAAUAUUUACAAAACUUAGUCGUUUUAAUUAAGAUCAAAC